CCUACGGGUGGCAGCAGUGGGGGAUAUUGCACAAUGGGGGAAACCCUGAUGCAGCGACGCCGCGUGUGGGAAGACGGUCUUCUGGAUUGUAAACCACUGUCCCAAGGGAGGAAGAUGAUGGUACCUGGGGGGGAAGCUCCGGCUAACAACGAGCCAGCAGCAGCGUUAAUACGUAGGGGGCGAGCGUUGUCGGGAAUUACUGGGUGAAAGGGGAGCGUAGACGGGGAUGCAAGUAGGUGGUCAAAACAACCGGCUCAACUGGUAGUCGCACUCAAAUCUGCAGCUCUUGAGUGAAGCAGAGGCAGACGGAAUUCCUAGUGUAGCGGUGAAAUGCGUAGAUAUUAGGAGGAACACCAGUGGCGAAGGCGGCCUGCUGGGCUUUUACUGACGCUGAGGCGCGAAAGUGUGGGGAGCAAACAGGAUUAGAUACCCCUGUAGUC
rnacentral:rRNA from 1 species